rnacentral:rRNA from 1 species
UCUAAUAACCCAUCAAAACCCUUAUCUUGUAUUGAGCGAUUCUAUACAACUAUAGAAAACCACAUGCUAGAACUAGUAACAAGAAUAAGACCCUUCUCCAAAAUACAAGUGUUAGCCAAAACGAACUAACACCGGCAUUUACCGCCACUGAACACAUAGUAGUAACUAAACAAGAAAAUACUACUUUUUUAGGCGUCAAUCUUACACUAGAGUAUUUCAGGAUGAUUAAAAAAAGAGGAAGGAACUCGGCAAACUAUUAACCCCGCCUGUUUACCAAAAACAUCGCCUCUUGACAAACAUAAGAGGUCCAGCCUGCCCAGUGACAAAGUUUAACGGCCGCGGUACCCUAACCGUGCAAAGGUAGCGCAAUCACUUGUUCCUUAAAUAGGGACUAGUAUGAAUGGCAUCACGAGGGUUAUUCUGUCUCCCCCUUUUAAUCAGUGAAACUGACCUCCCCGUGAAGAGGCGGGGAUAAAAGUAUAAGACGAGAAGACCCCAUGGAGCUUUAAACUAAGUACUAACUGCUUUACCAAUACCAUUGAAACUUAGCAGCUGUAGAAACUAGUUUUUGGUUGGGGUGACCGCGGAGCAAAACACAACCUCCACGAUGAAUGAACCUAAUACUCUAAUUACUAGAGCCACAACUCAAACAAGCAACAAAUUGACAUAUUUGAUCCAAUUAAUUUUGAUCAACGAACCAAGUUACCCUGGGGAUAACAGCGCAAUCCACUUCAAGAGCCCCUAUCGACAAGUGGGUUUACGACCUCGAUGUUGGAUCAGGGUACCCAAGUGGUGCAACCGCUACUAAAGGUUC